CCUACGGGAGGCAGCAGUGGGGAAUAUUGCGCAAUGGCCGAAAGGCUGACGCAGCGACGCCGUGUGUGGGAGGAAGCCCUUCGGGGUGUAAACCACUGUCAGGGGGGAAGAAACCAGAUCGGACGAAUAGGCCGAUCUGUUGACGGUACCUCCAAAGGAAGCGCCGGCUAACUCCGUGCCAGCAGCCGCGGGUAAU
rnacentral:rRNA from 1 species